GCCGGAGUGGCGGAAUUGGCAGACGCGCUGGACUCAAAAUCCAGUGAGGGCAACCUCAUGAGGGUUCGAGCCCCUCCUCCGGCACCA
rnacentral:tRNA from 1 species